AAUCAACGCUGGCGGCGUGCCUCAGACAUGCAAGUCGAACGCGAAAGUUUCCUUCGGGGAACAAGUAGAGUGGCGCACGGGUGAGUAACACGUAGGUAAUCUACCUUUGGAUGGGGAAUAACAACCGGAAACGGUUGCUAAUACCGCAUAAUGCAGCGGCACCUAAUGGUGACAGUUGUUAAAGCGGGGGAGUCGAAAGACCUCGCGUCUGAAGAGGAGCCUGCGGCGGAUUAG
rnacentral:rRNA from 1 species